UUAAAUGAUCAAACCAUGAAAAGAACCUGUGGUUAAAUGAAGAAGGGCGCACGGUGAAUGCCUUGGCACUAGGAGCCGAUGAAGGACGCGACGAACAGCGAUAUGCUUCGGGGAGUUGUAAGUACACAUUGAUCCGAAGAUUUCCGAAUGGGGAAACCCACUACUUUUCACAGAGUAGUACUUGUUAGUGAAUACAUAGCUAAUAAGAGGCAGACCCGGAGAACUGAAACAUCUUAGUACCCGGAGGAAGAGAAAGCAAACGCGAUUUCCUUAGUAGCGGCGAGCGAAACGGAACAUAGCCCAAACCAAGUGGCUUGCCACUUGGGGUUGUAGGACACUCUAUACGGAGUUACAAAGAAACGAGAUAGAUGAAGCGACCUGGAACGGUCCAUCACAGAAGGUAAGAAUCCUGUAAUCGAAAUUUCGUUUCCUCUUGAGUGGAUCCUGAGUACGGCGGGACACGAGAAAUCCCGUCGGAAGCAGGGAGGACCAUCUCCCAAGGCUAAAUACUCCCUAGUGACCGAUAGUGAACCAGUACCGUGAGGGAAAGGUGAAAAGCACCCCGGAAGGGGAGUGAAAGAGAUCCUGAAACCGUGUGCCUACAAGUAGUCAGAGCCGUUAAGGGG
rnacentral:rRNA from 1 species